GAUGAACGCUGGCGGCGUGCCUAAUACAUGCAAGUCGAGCGAACGGACGCGAAGCUUGCUUCUCUGAUGUUAGCGGCGGACGGGUGAGUAACACGUGGAUAACCUACCUAUAAGACUGGGAUAACUUCGGGAAACCGGAUCUAAUACCGGAUAAUAUUUUGAACCGCAUGGUUCAAAAGUGAAAGACGGUCUUGCUGUCACUUAUAGAUGGAUCCGCGCUGUAUUAGCUAGUUGGUAAGGUAACGGCUUACCAAGGCAACGAUGCAUAGCCGACCUGAGAGGGUGAUCGGCCACACUGGAACUUAGACACGGUCCAGACUCCUACGGGAGGCAGCAGUAGGGAAUCUUCCGCAAUGGGCGAAAGCCUGACGGAGCAACGCCGCGUGAGUGAUGAAGGUCUUCGGAUCGUAAAACUCUGUUAUUAGGGAAGAACAUAUGUGUAAGUAACUGUGCACAUCUUGACGGUACCUAAUCAGAAAGCCACGGCUAACUACGUG
rnacentral:rRNA from 1 species